AAUUAGCCCCGAUGGCAGCAAGUAUCCUUUUUAUUGUGUUAUACAAAAGUUGAUUUUAAAAAUAGGUUUUCUGCACAAUAAAAAGAUACUGCGUACAGCGGGAGGAUUG
rnacentral:sRNA from 1 species